GCAACACGACAACAGAAAAACAACAAAAGCUACUUAAUACCUUGCUCAAUCUACAAAAAUAAUAAUAAAUUCCAAAAUAAACGUCUAGGACGUAACAACCACCAAAUUGAAAACCUCUGGAAUAUAAUCAAGAGGAAGAUGGAUGAUCACAAGCCAUCAAACCACCAAACUGAACUGCUUGAAUUUUUGCACCAGGAGUAAAGCAGCAUAAAGUUAUCCAAAAGCAGUGUGUAAGACUGGUGGAGGAGAACAUGAUGAUAAGAUGCAUGAAAACUGUGAUUAAAAACCACUGAAGGGUUAUUCCACCGAAUAUUGAUUAUUUCUGAACUCUUAAAACUUUAUGAAUAUGAACUUGUUUUCUUUGCAUUAUUUGAGGUCUGAAAGCUCUGCAUCUUUUUUUGUUUUUUCAGCCAUUUUUCAUUUUCUGCAAAUAAAUGCUCUAAAUGACUAUUUUUAUUUGGAAUUUGGGAGAAAUGUUGUCUGUAGUUUGUAGAAUAAAACAACAAUGUUCAUUUUACUCAAACAUAAACCUAUAAAUAGCAAAAUCAGAGAAACUGAUUCAGAAACUGAAGUGAUCUCUUAAUUUUAAUAAUCCAGAGCUGUAGAAUGCACAUGUGUUUACACUCAUCAAAAACCUCCUCAAACGAUCAAACAACAACCGCGAGAGAUAGAAUCAGUGGAUCACAGAAUCCCGACGAGCUCAUCUCUUGCUGUAUCGGCCCUGUGCCUUCAUUUCUUAGCCUUCAAGGUGAGCUCUGUACAGGUAUUUAUGCACUGUUUUGGGGAAUCCUCUCAGAUUUUGAGAAUUGCAGGGGUUUGUACUGCUCUGUGUUCAUCACAAGCAGAUUUACAGCUUUAAUCAUUUAUUAUUUAUUUGAUUAACUGCUGUAAAAAAAACGAUGUAGCAUUUUUUAUGAGAAAGCUGUAGAGUGACUGGACACUUUAUUGGAAACACCUACCUUGUGCAUCCACACACUGGGCAUUUUAUUGGAAACUUCUAUCCCAAAAAACAUUCGCUCACUGGCCACUUUAUUGGAAACACCUACCAUGUACAUCCACUCCCAGGCCAAUUUAUUAGAAACACCUACCUUGUGCAUCCACUCAGUGGCCACUUUAUUGCAAACACCUACCUUAAACAUCCACAUACUGGCCACUUUAUUGGAAACACGUGACAUGUAGUUCCACUCACUGGCCACUUUUUAGAAACACUUACCCUUGUACAUCCACUCAGUGGCCACUUUAUUGGAAACACCUACUUUGUACAUCCACUCCCAGGCCGAUUUAUUAGAAACACCUACCUUGUGCAUCCACUCAGUGGCCACUUUAUUGGAAACACCUACCUUAAACAUCCACAUACUGGCCACUUUAUUAGAAACACUUACCCUUGUACAUCCACUCAGUGGCCACUUUAUUGGAAACACCUACCUUGUACAUCCACUCCCAGGCCGAUUUAUUAGAAACACCUACCUUGUGCAUCCACUCAGUGGCCACUUUAUUGGAAACACCUACCUUGUACAUCCACUCCCAGGCCGAUUUAUUAGAAACACCUACCUUGUGCAUCCACUCAGUGGCCACUUGGAAACACCAAUUUUGUACAUGCACACACUGGCCAAUUAAUUGGAAACAUCUACCUUAAACAUCCACCCACAGGCCACUUUAUUAGAAACACCUACCUUAAACAUCCACUCACUGGCCAGUUUAUUGGAAACCUCAGUUUUGUGCUUCCACUCACUGGCCACUUUAAUGGAAACCCCAAUUUUGUACAUAAACACACUGGCCACUUUAUUGGAAACACGUGACAUGUAGUUCCACUCGCUGGCCACUUUAUUAGAGACACUUACCCUUGUACAUCCACUCACUGGCCAGUUUAUUGGAAACCUCAAAUUUGUUCUUCCGCUCAGUGGCCACUUUAUUGGAAACACCUACCUUGUAUAUCUACUCACUCAUUGGCCACUUUAUUGGAAAUACCAAUUUUGUACACCCACACACUGACCACUUUAUUAGAAACACCUACCUUAAACAUCCACACACUGGCCACUGUAUUGGAAACACCUACCUUGUGCAUCCACUCAGUGGCCACUUUAUUGGAAACCUCAAUUUUGUACAUCCACUCAGUGGCCACUUUAUUGGAAACACCUACUUUUGUACAUCCACACACUGGCCACUUUAUUAAAAACACCUACCUUGUAUAUUUAUAUGAGAUAUGUAAAUGAGAACCUCAGCAGGGUGGAGCUACAAGAGGGGUGUUUCCGAUAAAGUGGCCAGUGUGAGUAAACUCUUUGCCAAAGAGAGUCCAGGCUGUGAACUCUGUACAUUAUUGAGUAUUUCUGUGAGUCUGCUGUGGCCGUGACUUUUAUUUUGAAAUGCUUGUAUUUGUAUCUGCUGUACAUUACUGUAUAUUAUUAUUAUUAUUAUAUUAAAAAUCUCUGUACAGAAAUCAGACAGAACGCUGUACAGACUGUACAGUAAAGCACUGUUAAUUUAAAGCCUGCGAAACCUGUAUGUAAGUCAUGUAAGAUUUUAAAAAAGAUUUUUAUUGAUUAAAAAUGUUUCAUUUUCUGAA